GACGAACGCUGGCGGCGUGCUUAACACAUGCAAGUCGAACGAUGAAGCCUAGCUUGCUAGGUGGAUUAGUGGCGAACGGGUGAGUAAUACGUGAGUAACCUACCUUUAACUCUGGGAUAAGCCCGGGAAACUGGGUCUAAUACCGGAUACGACCAAUCUCCGCAUGGGGUGUUGGUGGAAAGCGUUAUGUAGUGGUUAUAGAUGGGCUCACGGCCUAUCAGCUUGUUGGUGAGGUAACGGCUCACCAAGGCGACGACGGGUAGCCGGCCUGAGAGGGUGACCGGCCACACUGGGACUGAGACACGGCCCAGACUCCUACGGGAGGCAGCAGUGGGGAAUAUUGCACAAUGGGCGCAAGCCUGAUGCAGCGACGCCGCGUGAGGGAUGACGGCCUUCGGGUUGUAAACCUCUGUUAGCAGGGAAGAAGAGAGAUUGACGGUACCUGCAGAGAAAGCGCCGGCUAACUACGUGCCAGCAGCCGCGGUAAUACGUAGGGCGCGAGCGUUGUCCGGAAUUAUUGGGCGUAAAGAGCUUGUAGGCGGUUUGUCGCGUCUGCUGUGAAGGCCGGGGCUUAACCCCGUGUAUUGCAGUGGGUACGGGCAGACUAGAGUGCAGUAGGGGAGACUGGAAUUCCUGGUGUAGCGGUGGAAUGCGCAGAUAUCAGGAGGAACACCGAUGGCGAAGGCAGGUCUCUGGGCUGUAACUGACGCUGAGAAGCGAAAGCAUGGGGAGCGAACAGGAUUAGAUACCCUGGUAGUCCAUGCCGUAAACGUUGGGCACUAGGUGUGGGGGACAUUCCACGUUUUCCGCGCCGUAGCUAACGCAUUAAGUGCCCCGCCUGGGGAGUACGGCCGCAAGGCUAAAACUCAAAGAAAUUGACGGGGGCCCGCACAAGCGGCGGAGCAUGCGGAUUAAUUCGAUGCAACGCGAAGAACCUUACCAAGGCUUGACAUAUACUGGACCGCAUCAGAGAUGGUGUUUCCCUUCGGGGCUGGUAUACAGGUGGUGCAUGGUUGUCGUCAGCUCGUGUCGUGAGAUGUUGGGUUAAGUCCCGCAACGAGCGCAACCCUCGUUCUAUGUUGCCAGCACGUUAUGGUGGGGACUCAUAGGAGACUGCCGGGGUCAACUCGGAGGAAGGUGGGGAUGACGUCAAAUCAUCAUGCCCCUUAUGUCUUGGGCUUCACGCAUGCUACAAUGGCCGGUACAGAGGGUUGCGAUACUGUGAGGUGGAGCUAAUCCCUAAAAGCCGGUCUCAGUUCGGAUUGGGGUCUGCAACUCGACCCCAUGAAGUCGGAGUCGCUAGUAAUCGCAGAUCAGCAACGCUGCGGUGAAUACGUUCCCGGGCCU
rnacentral:rRNA from 1 species